rnacentral:rRNA from 1 species
AGUGAACGCUGACGGUAGGCCUAACACAUGCAAGUCGAACGGCAGCACAGUAAGAGCUUGCUCUUACGGGUGGCGAGUGGCGGACGGGUGAGGAAUACAUCGCAAUCUACUUUUUCGUGGGGGAUAACGUAGGGAAACUUACGCUAAUACCGCAUACGACCUACGGGUGAAAGCAGGGGAUCUUCGGACCUUGCGCGAUUGAAUGAGCCGAUGUCGGAUUAGCUAGUUGGCGGGGUAAAGGCCCACCAAGGCGACGAUCCGUAGCUGGUCUGAGAGGAUGAUCAGCCACACUGGAACUGAGACACGGUCCAGACUCCUACGGGAGGCAGCAGUGGGGAAUAUUGGACAAUGGGCGCAAGCCUGAUCCAGCCAUACCGCGUGGGUGAAGAAGGCCUUCGGGUUGUAAAGCCCUUUUGUUGGGAAAGAAAAGCAGCAGGUUAAUACCCCGCUGUUCUGACGGUACCCAAAGAAUAAGCACCGGCUAACUUCGUG